CGUGACAGUCAGAAGGUGGAGCUAAUUGGUGACUGUUCGCUGGUACGCAGUCUGCAGCAGAGACUAAGUGGGUGAAGUAAUAGAAUGACAGCUUGCGGAGAAGAGUUCUGUAAUGGGGACGGGGUAGAGCUGCACGGAUACCUUCAUGCCCUGGGAGGAAACGAGACAUGGAUGUGAGCUGUCAUGCCGUGAGAUGUCACACAGCGAGGAACAGACACACCGAAGAGAACAUCUUGUUGAUACCUGCUAAGGAAAUAUAAAACCCAACCCUGCAUUCACAAGGACCUGGGACUAACAGCAACCACGUGAACUCCAGGAAGGCAUUCAGCUCAGUCAAUAGCUGGAUUUAGCGGGGCAAGAUGCCGAGAGGAUGAUCGUUUUAUGUUGCAUUUGGAUUCCUGACCCCUGGGAACUGUGAGGCUGGUGUUAGACCUUUUGGGCAGAGCUGCUGGAAACUCUUUCUGAAUGAGGAAACUAUGAAGCCUUUUUUGUUACCUAUAACAUCAGCAUAUCCUGACUGAUCAAUGAAGUCAUUGAAUAGUUUCUGAAUAAUUUCGUGAUUGAAUUUCAAGAAGAGAUUGGAUAAAGAGGGGGCAAGGAGGAUAUACUAAGAAAGGGGAGCUACACAAGAAGCAACAUGGAUCUGGGAAGUUGACAAGAUCCCUAGGAAUGCCAAAGUUUAUAUGAGGAACCUUUGAUGUGGAAGAGACCUGGAAAAGUCAAGAUUAAGCUUUGGUAGAAAGCAUGAGUCAAGGGAAACUGGUAGACUCUCAUUGGACUCCCAGAGUUCUUAAGCCAUUAUGGCUUGUAGAGAACAUUGCUUGAAUUCAGAUAAACACCUUGACAUGCUACAUCUGUGAUACACACCAUCUGUCAAAUGGGCAUAGGGAACCUACUUCAGAACUUAGACCCCAGAUGGUCCUCAGUAACUAGGCUCCUGUCCUCAUUGUCCCAAAAGCUACAAUAUACUCUUCACUAAAACCAGAGUGAAGACAAUUGCCACUUCCAGUGCACUUCCCAAGGGAAUCAUUGCAAGAGAAAUAGUCCCUUCACCCUGAGAGGGCCACAGUACCAUACUGAUGAGAAAAAUACAAGAACAACUAUUGCCUCUACUUCUCAGGUACACAUAAUGGGAGAUAACCAGGAUCUAUACGUAGAGUUCCAGGUAUGUCCUCUUCAAAAUGCAUGGGUGACAUGACCACUCCUUCAUGUCCUUCCUGGGUGGGGAAAUUAAUGAGAUUCAGUACUGAAUGUUUAUGAAACGAAGAGAGGGAAAAGAUAAGAGCAGUAUUUAAUAUCCAAAGAGUCUGAACCUCAGAGUCUAAAAGAGAUUCAUGGAAUAAAUAAUAGAUACUUGAAACUCAUGGAACUAUUGAGGUAGAAGAGGUUGUUACCAAACUGGGGAAGAGUUGGAGAGGUUUUGCGUUGACUUCCUGAGGGUCCUUACUUGGGAAAAAGAUUUUAUUUCUAGUCAAAUAGUAUUGGAUUCUUCAAGGAGCCUGUUACCCUAGGACUAUGGAUGGAACAUGGCCAUCCCUUGAUGAUCUUCGCAAGCAUUACAGGUUGAGAGAUCCUUUAAGAAUUCCCUCUUGAAUACUCUCCAGUUUCAUCCUUUAAGCUCCAAGUUGAUGAAACAUAAAGUAACCAUUAAAACAAAACAGGGGGAGACAAUGUGAUAUUCUUAAAGUAUUUCUAGCUUUAUAAUUAUUUCAUGGAUGAGAGAGCCAUUAUAUGGUACCAUCCAGAAAUGUGAAAAUUAUUUGUUUCAGACAAGCAGACCCGAUCCCGUUAUAGGUUUUGAUUAAAAUGAAAACUUACCGCAUUUCACUCCUCAAAAUAUGAUAGCUUCACGGGCAAUUGAUGUCAGCUAGUUCCACUGCUGCAUCUCUAAUUCCAGAGCUUAUGAUAAUAUUUUUUUUGGAGUCAAACAUGACAUAAUGCUAGAACUCCUGGAGCUGGCAAAGAUGAUAAAGCGUUUUAGCCACAGCAGGUGCUCUGCAAAAUCUUUUAUUAGAAGAGCUGCCAUGCACAUGCUCAGAGUGUGAUGGAUUGCACAGAAAUUAAGAGUGACACACUAUGCAUUUACAGCAUGAAAAUUUCUUCCACUAAUUGAAGCAAUGAGAAUGAUCUCCAAACAGAAUCUGACUGGAGCUGGACAGGAAUGGCUGCUUUCCACAACACUCUAGAGCAUGAAUUUUUGCCCCUGUAAAGAAUGCUUGACCUAAACUAUGAGUUGAUGAUAAAAUGUAACUGACAUGAUUUAAUCAAAAGUCUAACUCUUCAGUUAUACCUUGACUUCCAUUUCCAACGUGAUACAUGGAUAUUUUCCCUUUCUAUUUAAUGUAUAAUGUGUACUGUAACUUCCAGUGACAGAUUUCAGAGUGAAUGACUUCCAAAUAUCACAGGUGUUCAAGGCAUGGCGCCAAUGGUGACGGUUGUGGUGUGUAUGUUGUAUGUGUUAUAUAUGUAUGUUGUGUCUCUGUGGUGUGUGUAUUCAUGUAUGUUGUGUAUAUGGUAGAUGCAUGGUGUGCAUGUGUGUGAUGUUUGUGAAUGUGUUAUGGAAGUCUUUUUGUACACUGCAAAGGUGUGUUGUUUUCAUUGGUUUAAUAAAGAACCGAUAGUCAAUAGUUAUGGAGGAAGAGGAUAGGUGAUAUUUUCAGACCUAAAAUAGAAAGUGUGUGAUGAAGAAGGGUGGGGUUGCCAGGAGACAUGGGGAGAAGCAAGAUGAAAAUGCUUUGUUGAAAACAGGUACCAAGCCACAUGGUAAAUCUUAGAUAAGAAAUAUAAAUUCAUUUAAGUUAAUAACAAGCCUAAGCUAUUGGCUGAAUGUUUAUAACUAAUAAUAAGUCCCCAUGUCAUUUGUUUGGGAGUCAGUGGUCCCAAUGAAAACCUCUGCCUACAUGUAUUUAUGUAUUGUAUGUCUGUGUAUGCAUCGAUUUUGUGUGUGCUGUGAGUUAUAUCCAUUGUAUUUCUAUGUUGUGUGUAUUUGUGUGACUUGUAUAUAUGUACGUGCUUUAUCUGGGGUGUGUAUUUGCAUGUGUGUGUGUGGUGUGUAUAAAUGGAGUAAAUGUAUUUUGUAUGUGUAUAUAUAUGGUGUGAUGUGGGUUUUUGUUACCAGUGAGUAAGAAAUUCUUGAUGAAUGCUCUCUAUUAACAGCUACUUGACUUCUGGGGAAGAUGUUGAAGGGCUUUAUUUGUUUUGUACACUCCUUGCCCAGAAGAACAUGAAAGCACAUAUCUGUUCCUAUUGGCCUACCAGCAUAGACCCAUACUGAUUUUCUAAAGCUUUUUGAGAGAGAAAGGUGGCCACUAUGCACAUGAGAAUGUGGAACACAGCUAAACAAAAGUAAUGUUUCCCACAAAAGCAUAGGAGCUUUAUAACCAAACAAGCCCAUUCCUCCCAGAUAAUUGCUUAUUUCCUAAUUCUUUGUCAGGCUUUCCCACACUGUGACCUGGAUAUCUUCUUUACCCAUUAGCAGUACAGCUCCACCUCCCCAGGAACGAUGCUGAGGAUAUGCAUAGGAAAUGAUAUAUGGUUCCCUGUCCUCUCCUUCCCACAAUACACUUGUCACUUUUAUUUUUGUAAGUCAGCACUUAGUCUAUCUGGUUUUCUCUAGCAGUGUGACAUCAUCACUGACAGCUAAACAAGUACUUACUGAAUCUCUGGCUUUUGAAAAUGCUAGCUUAGACUGCAAAAAGAUACUUGGGCCUUUAAAGGUUAGAUCAGCACCUGUGGAUGAGUGGAUCCU